rnacentral:rRNA from 1 species
AUACGUAGGGGGCGAGCGUUGUCCGGAAUGAUUGGGCGUAAAGGGCGCGUAGGCGGCGCGGUAAGUCUGGAGUGAAAGUCCUGCUUUCAAGGUGGGAAUUGCUUUGGAUACUGCCGCGCUUGAGUGCAGGAGAGGUUAUCGGAAUUCCCGGUGUAGCGGUGAAAUGCGUAGAGAUCGGGAGGAACACCAGUGGCGAAGGCGGGUAACUGGACUGCAACUGACGCUGAGGCGCGAAAGUGUGGGGAGCAAACAGGAUUAGAUACCCUGGUAGUCCACACUGUAAACGAUGAAUGCUAGGUGUAAGAGGUAUCGACCCCUUUUGUGCCGGAGUUAACACAAUAAGCAUUCCGCCUGGGAAGUACGGCCGCAAGGUUGAAACUCAAAGGAAUUGGCGGGG